CGUGCGGUUCUAUUUUGUUGGUUUCUAGGACCGCCGUAAUGAUUAAUAGGGAUAGUUGGGGGCAUUUGUAUUCCGUCGUCAGAGGUGAAAUUCUUGGAUUGCCGGAAGACAAACUACUGCGAAGGCAUUUGCCAAGGAUGUUUUCAUUGAUCAAGAACGAAGGAAGGGGGAUCGAAAACGAUCAGAUACCGUUGUAGUCUCUUCUGUAAACUAUGCCAAUUGGGGAUUAGCACAGGAUUUUCAAUGACCGUGUUAGCACCCGAAGAGAAAUCUUUAAAUGAGGUUCGGGGGGGAGUAUGGUCGCAAGGCUGAAACUUAAAGGAAUUGACGGAAGGGCACCACCAGGUGUGGAGCCUGCGGCUUAAUUUGACUCAACACGGGGAAACUCACCAGGUCCAGACACAAUAAGGAUUGACAGAUUGAUAGCUCUUUCUUGAUCUUGUGGUUGGUGGUGCAUGGCCGUUCUUAGUUGGUGGAGUGAUUUGUCUGGUUAAUUCCGAUAACGAACGAGACCUUAACCUGCUAAAUAGACCAGUCGACUUUGGUUGACUGCUGUCUUCUUAGAGGGACUAUCAGCGUUUAGCUGAUGGAAGUUUGAGGCAAUAACAGGUCUGUGAUGCCCUUAGAUGUUCUGGGCCGCACGCGCGCUACACUGACAGGGCCAGCGAGUACAUCACCUUGGCCGAGAGGUCCGGGUAAUCUUGUUAAACCCUGUCGUG
rnacentral:rRNA from 1 species